AGAGUUUGAUCCUGGCUCAGGAUGAAUGCUGGCGGCGUGCCUAAUACAUGCAAGUCGAGCGGUAACAGGGCUUCACCGUUUCCUUGACGCACCUAGCGCAGAUGUCGUAGGUUGUGAGACUUCGAGGGAACAGUGAAGCUGCUGACGAGCGGCGGACGGCUGAGUAACGCGUGGGAACGGACCCCAAACUGAGGGAUAACUACUCGAAAGAGUAGCUAAUACCGCAUGUGAUCUUCGGAUUAAAGGAUUUAUCCGGUUUGGGACUGGCCUGCGUACGAUUAGAUAGUUGGUAGGGUAAUGGCCUACCAAGUCGACGAUCGUUAGAUGGUUUGAGAAGAUGAUCAUCCAGACUGGGACUGAGACACGGCCCAGACUCCUACGGGAGGCAGCAGUAGGGAAUCUUUCACAAUGGGCGAAAGCCUGAUGGAGCAACGCCGCGUGCAGGAUGACGGCCUUCGGGUUGUAAACUGCUUUUAAACCUGAGAAAUAUGAUGGUAGGGUUUGAAUAAGGACCGGCUAACUACGUGCCAGCAGCCGCGGUCAUACGUAGGGUCCAAGCAUUAUCCGGAUUGACUGGGUGUAAAGAGUUGCGUAGGUGGUUUGUUAAGUAGGUAGUGAAAUCUGGUGGCUCAACCAUUCAGACUAUUACCUAAACUGAUAAACUCGAGAGCGUUAGGGGUAGCUGGAAUUUCUAGUGUAGGAGUGAAAUCCGUAGAUAUUAGAAAGAACACCGAUAGCGUAGGCAGGCUACUGGGACGUUUCUGACACUAAGGCACGAAAGCGUGGGGAGCAAACGGGAUUAGAUACCCCGGUAGUCCACGCUGUAAACGAUGGAUACUAGCAGUUUCGGGUAUCGACCCCUGGAGUUGCGAAGCUAACGCGUUAAGUAUCCCACCUGUGUAGUACGAUCGCAAGAUUAAA
rnacentral:rRNA from 1 species